GUGCCUGCAUUGGCAGUAUAUAUACUAAAAUUGGAACCAUACAGACAAAAUUAGCAUGGUCCCCGCCCAAGAAAGACAAGAAUUGAAUGCUCUCUCUUGCAUGUUAGU